UCUUGUCUCGGGGGGGGGGGGCGAUCCCGCGGGGGGGCCGGGGGUAAGAGAUUUUUUUUUCAAACAAAUUUCGACCCCAAAAAACAUUCUCUUUUUAUUUACCUCAGGUGCGGUCCUUGAUAACAAGCACGGGCUACUAGUGCCCGCAGCCGCGGUAUUAGUAGGGUGCGAGCGGUUAUGGGAAUUACUGGGCGUAAAGCGUGCGCAGGCGGGCUUGUAAGUCAGAUGUGAAAUUUCUUUUAGGUCAAAUUGCGCCAUGGUUUGAACUACAAGGCUAGAAUAUGUCAUAGGGGUAGAAUGCACGUGUAGCAGUGAAAUGCGUUAGAUGUGGAGGAAUACAAUGGGAAGGCAGCCCCCGGGAUCAUUACGUCAUGCACAAAG
rnacentral:rRNA from 1 species